AUUCCAGUGUGCCACUACCUCUGCUGGGUCUGUCUUGCCAGUGGGAAAGGACAUAUCCAGGGACGGUGCUGGUGGCGUUUGGAACAUUGUCAGAUAUGAUUCUGUUGCUGGGUUCCAUUGUGAUCCUUGUGGACUAUUUCUACACGGAUAUCAUUUUUAGCAGAGACAUCGCCUUUACCAUCUGAAAAACAACCAUAGCACAGAAAUCAAACUUCUCCUCCACUGGACAGUCAUAUUUUGGAAUCAAUGAGCUGUCAAGCACUGCGAAGGACGUGGAAUGCAGAUUACAUUAUCGGGUAAAAUCUGUGGAGCUGAGGGAAAAGCAGAAAAGGAGAAAAAUCACCUUCACCUCUCUCUUUUAUACCUACUGCAAAUCUCAUUCAUAGCACAGACUCUUACGGAGUGAAACUGAAUUUUGUUCAAAGGGGCUCCUUUCCCACAUUCUGUAACCUACCUGUUGGCAGUUGCAGUUAGCUAGUAAUAAGAAUAUACAGAUCCUUCUGUGUUGACUUAAUACAGCAUUUGGACUCACACAGAAGCAGGAUUGGAAUACUUCAACAAAGUCCUCAAAAAUUAUCAACCGACCAUUAAACCUAAGACCACAGAAUACAAGCCACUUACUUCUCUGGGAGCGCGAGCAGCAAAUAACCGUGAUGGUUGCCAAGACGACAAUGAAAGCCACUCCAGCACCAACUGCUACGCCAAUGACGACAGCCAGUGAGAGCGCCUCUGUGGGGAAAAAGCACAGGAUGCAUCAGAAUGAGCAAUGUGACGGUAACAGAAGACUGUCAAAGUUAUUGAUGUCCUGUGAAAUGCGUACGAUGGGGACAGGAAGUACAUUCAAACAUCUGUCCACGAAUGCAUGGCUGCUCUAUUAGUUAAGUAUGAA